UGAACAUAGUUUAACAAAUUCUAGCUCGUGACGCUAGAGAUGAGAACUAAUCAUUCUCUGUUCACC
rnacentral:tRNA from 1 species